GCGGUUUCCACUACCAAAAAAAAAAAUAAUAAAAAAAAAGCCAGUUGUUCUCCUCGUUUCUUCCACUCAAUCGCGCGCCCCUAUCUGAACGCCGUCGUCGAAAUUGGUACGUUUUCCUUCGACGUUCUUCAUAGGUAGCGCGCCAUUGGCCCUCGCUUCGUCGGAGUUCCAUCAGAUCUAGGGCUCUCUCGGUUUGCCGAUCGGUAAACUGUUUGGUUCCUGGGAAAAUUAGGGAUUCCUCUCUCUGUUGUUCUUUAAUUUUCCCGGAAAGUAUAAGGAUUAAUCUUCGUUUUUUUUAUUCUGUAUACGCGCCAACAAGUGCGAGGACAACGUUACUAAACGUAGUCUUGGUAAAUUCUUGUUGGGAUUAGUUAUUUAAACAUCAAGAUUCAAAACCCUGCCAUAGAGACUCUACAUGUUUGUCGAUCUGUUCGGGUUCAGUUGUGUGUUGUUAUCGAGAUUUAUUCCCUCUAUCCAGGGUAUUGAAGUGUACUGGUGGUAAAUCUUGACGCCUGAAAGCUUUGGUGGGUUGAUUUGAUUUAGGUUUUUUGGAUUUAAGCAUUCGAUAUUUUGCCUAAGCUUACAAAUUGGGGCAACUACGGUUUCAUGGCUGAUCGGAACUCGGUGGUCGCUAAACCAAUCUGGAUGAAGCAAGCUGAAGAGGCGAAAUUGAAGAGCGAGGCUGAGAAAGAUGCAGCCGCGAAAGCUGCUUUCGAAGCUACUUUUAAAGGGGUCGAUAAGAUUCCUGCAAAAGAAGCAGCAUCCUCAGAUAGUGACUUCGAAGAUACCGAGGACUUGGAAAACAAGCCGAUUGGGCCUGUGGACCCUGCUAGAUGCACAGCAGCUGGAGCAGGCAUAGCUGGUGGCACGGCGUGUGUGCCAGCUUCGUUUACUGUGGUAACUAAGGAUGCCGAUGGGAGGAAAGUUCCCCGUGGUGGUGCACAGAUUAAAGUAAAGGUGUCGCCUGGUGUAGGUGUUGGUGGAACCGAGCAAGAUGGCAUUGUGAAGGAUAUGAAUGAUGGUACAUAUACGAUUACUUAUGUGGUGCCAAAAAGAGGGAAUUAUAUGGUUAAUAUUGAGUGCAACGGAAGACCAAUCAUGGGUAGUCCAUUCCCGGUGUUCUUUAGCGCAGGGGCAAGUUCUGGUGGACUCCUGGGUUUAGCUCCUUCAUCUUCAUUUCCAAAUUUGGUUAACCAAAAUAUGCCCAACAUGCCUAAUUAUUCAGGGUCUGUUUCGGGGGCAUUUCCUGGGUUGAUGGGAAUGAUUCCAGGCAUUGUAGCUGGUGCUUCUGGUGGUGCUAUCUUGCCUGGAAUUGGAGCAUCUCUUGGAGAAGUAUGUCGAGAAUAUCUUAAUGGUCAAUGUGCGAAAACUGAUUGUAAGUUAAAUCAUCCACCUCACAAUUUGCUCAUGACUGCAAUAGCUGCAACAACCACCAUGGGAACUAUCAGUCAGGUGCCUAUGGCACCUUCUGCAGCUGCUAUGGCGGCUGCUCAGGCUAUUGUUGCUGCCCAAGCCCUUCAAGCCCAUGCUGCUCAAGUGCAAGCACAACAAGCUCAAUCUGCAAAAGAAUCUUCUGGUUCAUCUGAAAAAUCCGGGAAGGCUGCUGAUGCACUGAAGAGAACGCUGCAAGUUAGCAAUCUUAGCCCAAUUCUCAACGUGGAACAGCUGAAACAACUUUUUAGUUUUUGUGGAACUGUUGUUGAAUGUAACAUUACUGAUUCAAAGCAUUUUGCUUACAUAGAAUACUCAAAGCCAGAAGAAGCUACUGCUGCUUUGGCAUUGAACAAUAUGGAUGUCGGAGGUCGGCCUUUGAAUGUAGAGAUGGCAAAAUCACUUCCACAGAAACCUGCUACAUCGAACCCUUCACUUGCUUCAUCUUCUCUGCCCAUGAUGAUGCAGCAAGCUGUAGCCAUGCAACAAAUGCAAUUCCAGCAGGCUUUACUGAUGCAGCAAACUGUGACAGCUCAGCAGGCUGCUAAUCGUGCAGCAACUAUGAAGUCUGCAACAGAGUUGGCAGCAGCUAGAGCUGCUGAAAUAAGCAAAAAACUUAAAGUUGAUGGACUUGUAAAUGAAGAAACCGAGACAAAAGAAAAAUCAAGGUCACCUUCAUUGUCUAGGGAGAAGUCAAAAUCCAAAUCAAGAUCACCAGUCAAGUACCGAAGUAGGCGGAGAUCUCCAACUUAUUCACCUCCAUAUCGUCACUCGAGAGAUCAUAGAUCUAGAUCACCGAUGAGAUCUCGCCAUUAUUCUAGGUAUGAAGAUGAUAGGAGAGCCUUUAGAGAAGCAAGAGAUGCUAGUGAAAGAUCUAGACGGCGAGACUUAGAUAGAUCAAGAAAUCAUCGUUCACCCAUCUCAAAGAAAAAUAGAAGUAGAAGCAUAAGUCCUCGAAGAAGAAAAUCAUAUAGAGCAGAUUCAGACUCUCCUAAUCACCCACGGGAACGUUCACCACAAAGAGGUAGAAAAUCAGAUCAUUCUGAUGUGAGAUCACCAAGUCGUCAUCACGGGAAAAGCAGAUCAUCCCCAAGAAAUGACGAUGGUGACAAACUAAAACAUAGAAGACGGUCAAGGUCUAAAUCUCUCGAGACUAAGCAUCAUUCUGAUGACAAAAUAAAUGAAACGCGACAUGGGAAAUCGAAGAAUCGGGAAAGAAGGCGGUCAAGAUCUGCUUCAUUUGAAGACAGGCAUAGUAAACGAAGAUUGUCCCCAAGAAGCACGGACAAGAAUGUUUCUAAACAUAGACGGCGGUCCAGAUCAAACUCUGUGGAAGUUAAGCAUCACUCUAAGGAGAAGGUGGAUGCUACCUCGUCAAAAUAUCAUAGUAGAAGGCGAUCACGAUCAAGUUCUUCAGAAAGUAAACAUCGUACUGAUAAUAAGGUAGAUAGCACUAGAGAUGAAAAAUUAAAGCAUCGUAGCAGAAGAAGAUCCAGAUCAAAAUCUGUAGAUGGUAAGCAUCACAAGAAGGAGAAAUCAGAUAGAAGCAGAGAUAAAAGGUCCAGGCAGCAUGAUAGAAGGCCAUCCAGAUCUAUAUCUCCUGAGGCUAGGCAUCAAAGAGGGACCAGGCUGUCUCCUACCAGUUCUGAUGAAAAUAAAUCAAAACAUAGGAGGUCGCAUUCCCCUGAAGAUAAGCAUCAUAUUCAUGUUACUGACAUAGAUAAUGGAUGUAUAGCUGAAAAUUCAAAGAAUCAUGAGAGACAGCGGUCCAGGUCAAUUUCAGGAGAAAAUGGAAAAAGUAAUUUAUCUCCGAGUCGGGAAGAAAAUGAAUUUAAACAUGGAGAGCAGUCAAUGCUAGAACCUGUUGGAGGAGGGCAUGAAGCUAGCCUCUCAAAGGUUGUAGACGAUAUGCCAACGGAAGAUGAUCAAGGUAGAAAAGGGUUAACCCAAUAUUACAAUGUCGAGGAACCAAGCCAAACUGAAGUGCCUGAUGUUGAGCAAGUUGAUUUAGCUGAAUUGAAGCUUCAAAAUCGUUGUGGAAGCAGUGAUAUUGAUACAAGUGGCUUCUUGGAUGUUAACGCAGGAAGUUAGAGUUUAAUGGAGUUUGUAAUUUUUCAAGUUCUCCUUGUCUGAUGCUCACAGUAGAUGUUCGACGGCACCUUAAUACAGAUGCAGUUUCUGGUGACUGACGUUGAGGAGAUGGAGUUACAUUAAUAUUUGACAUGAAAAUGGUUUACUGUAACACAAUCUGUGUGACAAGAAUAGAAGACUAUUGCAGAGUUGAAUACCUUGAUAAACUGGGUCAAAUUUCAUCCUCAGCAAUUAUAGCCUGGCUUGUUGGCGUUUUCAAGGGCAUCCAUUGCUUCUUAUGAGAAAGGGCUUCUUGUGUAGAAGAUUUGUUUGCAUUUCUCAGAAAAUUCUUCUGAUUUGUAGUUUUCAUCCAUCUUGUCUUUUGUCUUUGAUCAUCUUUUGCAGGUUGGCAGGCAAUAGUCUCUUUCAGUUGAUGUUGGUCUGCUUUAAGCAUUUGAAGUAAUGCUGUCCUUUUGUCUACAAGACAAGACACCCAGUAUCUGUAGGGCGCUUCUUUUACUGCUUGAUGUUAUUCGGGGUGAUUAUCGUUGGAGGUUUGUCGGGGUUGAUUUUCUCUUGUUUACACGAAGUUUAUCUUCGUUAGGCAAAGCUACUGUUAAAGGUCGGUUGAAACCACAGAUGUUGCUGGGAUUAAUUGCAUCAAAAUUGAACAUCCUUCUGGGUAUGAUCAGAAUGGCUGACUCACUUGGAAGCUUUUUUAUUCGUGGUGAAUUGCAAAUAUAUAUUUAACAGGUAAUAUUGUUUGUAACUGCUUGGUAGAGCAUGUCCAUAGGGGAAAGCUAUACAACUUAUCUAUUUGAUUAGAUUUUUAAUAUCCUAGGUUUAGAGUUUAUCAUUUUGGUGGGAUUUUUUUCAAAAGAGUAUAAAAUCGAAGUGAACCUUUAUUCACGAUUCGCUCUGCAUGAGGUGCUUGAAAAGCGCAUGUUGGACAAUGAAUCUAGAAUGAUACUCGAUGCAUGUGCUACAGGCGUUCUUUCCUUUUCCUCUUUUAUUUUUUCCGCUAAAUUAUAAACUUUAGCGUGUAAUGUUAUUGAGAUUGAAAAGAUGGUAAACAACCCUGAUUGAUGAAAUUGAGGAGGGAUUGUUUGUGGGAGAAGAUUAGCAUUAGCUGUACAAAUAAUUUUUCUGAUUGCUGGUUGUAGUAGUAGGAUAUUUGGUUGGGUAAAAACUUAACUGUUUAGUCUUUUUCACUGGUGUUUGUUCUUUUCUCCCUUCCCACUCCCCUUCUUUUUUGCCCCUUUCUUCUCCUCUUUCUUUUUCAAACAAUUUCUUGGUAGGAUAACCUGCAAAAUGAUGAUAUGAGAGCUGCAGCCUUGGGCUUCGAACUCGGGUUCCGACUUGGAUGGGGUGGAUGUCAAUGUCUUAGUUUGUGCUUGGUCUAUUGUUUCAGAAGGAACCGAGCACUGAGCUAUAGUGUUGCACCUCACAACUCGAAUCGUCAUCAUGUUUAUGCUAACUUGGUUCGAGUUGGAAUUUUUGUGCUUCCAAGUUUGAAUAGUCGAGAUUGAAGAAGUCUAGAUUUUUGUUUGGCCCCUAGUAGGCUUAGUAUUUUUUGCUUUAAAUUUGAAUAGUUGAGAGUGUUGAAACUUGGAAGUCUAGAUUUUUCUUUGCUCUGGUGAUCGCUCUCCCCACCUUAUCCACUAGUCAUUUCAAGACGUCUAAUUUAACAUUCACUUUUUUAUGCAAUUUCAUGCUAUUGAUGGA